rnacentral:misc_RNA from 1 species
AUCGAAGCCCGUAACCGCCUCCGGGCGUGACGGGUGGCUGGUAUCCUCCUUCUGAGGGGUGUAUGGCGCAGCUUGGGCCGUCCCUUACGGGUCAGGAAUUCUCAGCGCUGCGGCGGACCAUCCCUUGGGCAACUCAGUGGGGGCAAUUGGAUGGCCCGUUAGGUAUCUUCAGCGGCUUUGACCGCACAGGUGUCUCGGGCUGGGUGUUGGGCCUUGGUCCACGUCCCGACCUUCUAACUAGCUCUAAGACCCCUUAGCUGAGGGUUACCGGGUAGGUUUCCGCCUUUCGGGGCGGAGGGCCUCCCGGGAAAGAUAGUUACCUGGUUGAUCUGCCAGUAGUCAUAUGCUUGUCUCAA